GCAAAGUGCGUGUCAAAGAUAACGCUCUGAACAAACCAUCGCGCUACACAAGACGUGAACCCUGCGACCUCCAGCAGUGUCAUGGCUGUGCUGCGUGGAUCUACACACGACCACGGGGAGGAAACCGGAGCAGAGGAGCAGGAGGCGAAGGACAUGUCACGUUGGGCGGGGGAGGAUGGAGCCAUUGAACAUCUGCCAUGAGUUUUAGGUGCGCCCAAGAGUUUUCAGCCAAAUGCCGUUUCCGUCUUCUACGAUGGUAAUUUGACAAAGAGACGACACUCUUUUUGCAGCUGCAAAAAGUCGUAUUUCUAUUAUUAUUGCCAGAAAAGCAAGAAUGGGAGAUACAGCUUUAAGCUCCCGGAGGCUACAUCCCAAGGUCUUUCAUGCUUGUGGGAAAAUAUCUUGAUCUCCACAAAACUUCCCUGGAGCCUCUCAUGAUGGAAACCUCUUCACUGAAUCCAAAACCCAAGCUCUGAUUCAACUGUGAAGCCACAGCCCGUCACUCACAGAAAUCACAGAAAUGUGGCUUCCUGCUGCAUGAUGAUAUGAAAAGGCACUGCGCUUGUUGGAUGUGUUCUUUGUUGCAGCUACAAGCUUGUCAGCUGCUAAGUGACCUGUGAGCUCGUCAUUUUAAAUACAAUAUAACGUAUUAUAUUUUGUGCAGGCAGCCACGACUCCCUUUUCCCCCAAAUUCUUCCAUUUCUUUUUUUUUUCUUUUUUUUUUCUUUUAGCUACUAGGUCCAGCUGUUUUAUAUGCAGCUGAUCAACGACGCCCAAUCAAGCGCAAGAGAAAAAGAACAAAUGAAAUGAACACUAAAAAACACCACAUGUUGUAUUCUUUGUAUUUAUUUAUUUAGAAUAAAAGUUCAAAGGCCAAAACAUUGAACAGGAAAUAAAAAAGUCAAAGUUUAAAUAUAGCUGCCGUUUAAUCCACAGAAUGAGAGUGAGAGACACCUGCGUGGCCGUCAGCCACGGCCUCGUUAACUCAGCUCUAAAAAUGGUAAUUCAGAGCCGUAUUAAAGCUGACACAUAUUUGCAGUUGGUAUUUAUUUUAAUUAGAACAGUUAAAGGAAACAGCUUUGGUAAUUAUGAUAAAGUGUUGGCAGCCUGGAUUGCUGGUGCAUCAAUAUUUGACUUCCGCAGGAUUAUAAAAUGUGGCGAGGGAGAAAAAACAUGACAGGAGGACGACACCCCCCCCGUCAGAAGUGAUUGAAUUUACAUCCACCACGAUUCUUUCCAAAAUGGCAGCAGGGCUUGGCUCUGAUUUUUAUUUUGCUCAUCCCUUGAUGGAGCCUUACGCUGUUUGACAAGACAGCAUGUUUGAACGAGUUGAGCUGGAAAAACUCAUAUUUACUGGCAUUUUACCUGAAAAAAAAGAACUCCUCGUGUUUGGCUUGGCACUGGUUUGAUUUUUGUUGUGCAUCAAUAAUUUCAAUAAUAACAAGCAGGAAAAAUGUGUGUUUGUACAGACUCCUUUAGCACUUUAGCACCUUUUAAGCUCGUUGUUUCGGUUUUCCGUCCAACUGAUCGAAGCGGCUUCGGUCUGCAAGGCCCAAAAAGUCCAUUUGAUUCUACAGUUUGAAUGCGGAAUCACAGAGGAAGGUAACGUGCUGACCAAGGUAAGAGGAGUUUGAACACUGACUUAAAUUCAUCUUUCAGUUGUAAUGUUGCCCUGUGUCUGCAUGAAGCCUAAACCAGCCCACAGUUUGCUUUUAACCGUCAUAUUAACAAAGUGCUGCAUGAACUCUUUUUUUUGUUGUUCACGUGGGGCCGAAACUCAGUCAAUACAAUAAAACUAAAUCAGCUCAGUUGGUGAAUUCACUUUCAAACUCCUGACAAGAAUAUUAUAAGUUGGACGUAUUUUUUAAAAGUUGCAACCAAGCGUCAGAAGAAAACCAACACAGGCGCAAUGAUGCAUGAGGGGAGAAAACACACUUAUAUUUGUGUGUUUCACCUACAGCCUACAGUCCUGCUGCUAUAUUAUAUCAUAUUAUAUAUCGUAUACUAACACUUUUUACUUGCUUUGCAGGAAUGUAAGUAAUGAUGCAACCUUAACGCUUGUCUUUUAAAGUGGUUACAUAUCUUCAAAUACAAUAUGCACUUUGUUGAUGUUUUGGCUUCACUUUUGGAAAGCUUUGCUGUUUUACGUCUUCAUAGACGGUCACAACUACACCAACGCGUCUUUAUUAUUAUCCCUGUGUCCACCCGUUCGGCAGCUCAGCUUUUCAGAUUUUUCCGCCCAAUAAAAAAUAAAGAAUGAUAAACCAUAAAAUGUUCCACAUCUUGCACACAUUGAUUUCAAAUUCCAUAAAAUAUUGACUUUACUUAUUUUUUUCCUGAGUACGUGAAGUUUGACCAAUUAACCAAUUACUUAGCAGUAACCA
ensembl:lncRNA